rnacentral:rRNA from 1 species
AACGCGAAGAACCUUACCCAGGCUUGACAUCUCCUGACAGCCUUAGAAAUAAGGUCUCCGGGGCAACCCGGCAGGAAGACAGGUGCUGCAUGGCUGUCGUCAGCUCGUGCCGUGAGGUGUUGGGUUAAGUCCCGCAACGAGCGCAACCCUUGUCGUGUGUUGGUCGCAAGAUCUCUCACACGAGACCGCCGGUGAGAAGCCGGAGGAAGGUGGGGAUGACGUCAAGUCAGCAUGGCCCUUACGUCUGGGGCUACACACGUGCUACAAUGGGUGUGACAACGAGUUCCAAACUCGCAAGGGUAAGGCAAUCCCUCAAACACACCCUCAGUUCGGAUUGAAGGCUGCAACUCGCCUUCAUGAAGUCGGAAUCGCUAGUAAACGCAGAUCAGCUACGCUGCGUUGAAUACGUUCCCGGGCCUUGUACACACCGAUACUC